AUUGAACGCUGGCGGAAUGCUUUACACAUGCAAGUCGAACGGCAGCACGGACUUCGGUCUGGUGGCGAGUGGCGAACGGGUGAGUAAUGCAUCGGAACGUGCCCAAUCGUGGGGGAUAACGUAGCGAAAGUUACGCUAAUACCGCAUACGAUCUAAGGAUGAAAGCGGGGGAUCGCAAGACCUCGCGCGAAUGGAGCGGCCGAUGUUAGAUUAGGUAGUUGGUGGGGUAAAGGCUCACCAAGCCGACGAUCUAUAGCUGUCUGAGAGGAUGAUCAGCCACACUGGGACUGAGACACGGCCCAGACUCCUACGGGAGGCAGCAGUGGGGAAUUUUGGACAAUGGGCGCAAGCCUGAUCCAGCCAUUCCGCGUGCAGGAUGAAGGCCCUCGGGUUGUAAACUGCUUUUGUACAGAACGAAAAGCUCUGGGUUAAUACCCUGGGGUCAUGACGGUACUGUAAGAAUAAGCACCGGCUAACUACGUGCCAGCAGCCGCCGUAAUAC
rnacentral:rRNA from 1 species